rnacentral:lncRNA from 1 species
AAGCCUCUCUGUCAUCAUUCCUGCCAUACACUUCAGAUGCAUAUACCAAAGAGGUUGUUGGUAAUUUUGGUGGCUUUUUUUCCCUGACAUCAUUUCGUAGGCCGAGGAUAUUAAUUUGUUUUCCAAUGUGUUCUAGUCUUUUGAAGAUCUCUUCCAACUUUGGGUUCAUCCUCUCAGGAAAAGAGAAAACGUUUGGUACCCGAGACGCCCAGGUGGUUUGAGGCUCUUCUUUCAGCUUGCGCAAAAAAGUGAGCGAUGCAAUCUCCUCCAGUAUGUCUUCUGCAUCAUAGACAGCAUCUUUAAGCUCAUCGAGCCAGUUUUUCACAGCCUGAUUUUUCAUCUGCUUUUCCUCUGCGUCAUUCAGUACUGCCUCAAGGGACAACAGGGUUAUCUGUAGUUUCUUCAGCAUUUCAUCAUUGACACUGCCGCUAAAGAAGUUCAAUACCUCAGGAGAUGCC